UACGAAGGGGGCUAGCGUUGCUCGGAAUCACUGGGCGUAAAGCGCACGUAGGCGGAUUGCUAAGUCAGGGGUGAAAUCCUGGAGCUCAACUCCAGAAUUGCCUUUGAUACUGGCGAUCUUGAGUCCGGGAGAGGUGAGUGGAACUGCGAGUGUAGAGGUGAAAUUCGUAGAUAUUGGGAAGAACACCAGUGGCGAAGGCGGCUAACUGGUCCAGAUCUGACGCUGAGGUGCGAAAGCGUGGGGAGCAAACAGG
rnacentral:rRNA from 1 species